rnacentral:rRNA from 1 species
CAAUAGCGUAUAUUAAAGUUGUUGCAGUUAAAAAGCUCGUAGUUGGAUUUCUGCUGAAGCAGACCGCUCUGUCCUUGUGACAAGUUGCGUGUUCCGCUUUGGCAUAUUCGACUGAUCUUUCAUGCACUUUACUGUGUGUGGGGGUUCUUUCGACCAUUACUUUGAGAAAAUUAGAGUGUUCAAAGCAGGCUUUCGCCUUGAAUACAUUAGCAUGGAAUAAUAAGAUAGGGCUUCGGUUCUAUUUUGUUGGUUUCUAGAACUAAAGCAAUGAUUAAUAGGAACAGUCGGGGGCAUUUCUACUGAAUCGUCAGAGGUGAAAUUCUUGGAUUGAUUCAAGAGAAACUACUGCGAAAGCAUUUGCCAAGGAUGUUUUCAUUA